UCAUUAGGAAACAGGUUUGACUUAUUGACUAGGCUUUUCCAGCAUGUUCUGAGGUCCCUGAAGAUCCUGCUCCAGACCAGGGUCUACGUCUGUAAGGGAAAGACCCCCGUCUUCAUAGACAACGUUUGCCCCAUGGCCCUGACGGUUCUGACUCCCCAGGGACCAGGCUCCUCUCGGGCAGCAGGGUCCCAGCGACAGAAGCCGGUGCAGAGUGGGCCUUGAAGGAGGGCUGCCGGCGAUGUGCUCCAGGCCCCGCGAGAGACGGAGGGCCGGAUGAAGGACCCGGGGCGCAGAGGUCAGCCGGGACUGAGGGCGCACCCUUCCUGCUCUGCCCGGACCCUCCUGUGCGGAGAACAGACUGGGCCCCGAGACUCGCGUUGCCAGAGGAUGAGCUCCCGGACGUCCGGGCUCAGCCAGCCACCGGCUCUGCCUUGUCCGCCGUCCGGGCAUUUCGUAUCUGAAGGACUUGUCACACUCGACCACAUUUCCACUCUGGCCCGAUUUCCUGUUGGUCGUCAAUACAUUGUAUCGAGGGAAUGCUACGAAGCCCACUGAGUGUAGGCUGUGGUUAUAAUCCUUGGAAAAAUAAACACUUCCUACCGUAAGAAAAGGGAACUUACUUUGGUAUCAAAAUCACGAGACUCCAGGCUGCUGCUUUUGUGCUUUAAUAUUCCGCACUCAAACGAAAGUAUUUCAGGCAACCCUGGGCCCCGGCGCCCCUUCCCUCCACUCACACAUUUGGUCUGUUUGCAAGUUACCGGAGGAUACAAAAAUAGCCGCUACAAAUCCUCUGUUUCUGGCAUAUAAAAACUGAGCGAAAAGUGUCUCAGCAGUCAUGACCU